CCUACGGGUGGCUGCAGUGGGGAAUAUUGGACAAUGGGCGAAAGCCUGAUCCAGCCAUGCCGCGUGUGUGAAGAAGGCCUUCGGGUUGUAAAGCACUUUCAGUGGGGAAGAAAGCCUUGGGGCUAAUACCCUCGAGGAAGGACAUCACCCACAGAAGAAGCACCGGCUAACUCCGUGCCAGCAGCCGCGGUAAUACGGAGGGUGCGAGCGUUAAUCGGAAUUACUGGGCGUAAAGCGCGCGUAGGCGGUCUGAUAAGCCGGUUGUGAAAGCCCCGGGCUCAACCUGGGAACGGCAUCCGGAACUGUCAGGAUAGAGUGCAGGAGAGGAAGGUAGAAUUCCCGGUGUAGCGGUGAAAUGCGUAGAGAUCGGGAGGAAUACCAGUGGCGAAGGCGGCCUUCUGGACUGACACUGACGCUGAGGUGCGAAAGCGUGGGUAGCAAACAGGAUUAGAUACCCGGGUAGUC
rnacentral:rRNA from 1 species